CACAAUCAAUGUUUAUAUAAUAAUUCACCCUUUUUAAGUACUCUAAAGUUCACAAAAUAGCUUCCUCACAAGAACCCACAGAGUGUGUAUAAGGGAAAAAUAUUGGUUGCAUGACUGUCACACUGCCUUUGCCACUCUGCUGCUUGUGUCCAAUAAGGGGGUGGAGGAGAAUGAGAUGCCAAAGGACUCAGAAGACAAUGAAGCUGGAGGAUUGACUAUUGUGCUCCAUGCCAGCAGUGCUCUCCUUCACCUCUACUUUCUCAGCAUCCCUGGCUUCCUUCAAGACUCAGUUCAAAUGCUACUUUCUUCCACUGGCCUUUCCUGGUCACACAAGUUGCUAGUGCCUUCUUUGAAUCAGCAUUUUCCCCAGAGUUUUGUGGACGUGGACCUCCGUAUUUUGAAAAUCGAGUGUCUGCUUCGGUUAACAACAAAUACAAACGUUCUUCCCCCUCUGUCCGGGCCCCUCUCCAGACUGCACUCUGUUCACAGAGUUUUGCCAGCUCGUUUUAGGAUAACGGCAGGCUCUGCUGGACCGCUGUCGUCUCAGUGCCUAGCACAGUACGCUUGGUGACCGUGGCUGAAGAUGCAUUCCUUCAAGCCAGUCACUGCUCGUCAAAUCUCAUCCGAAUAAGCAGAGAUGUUGGUCUUAAAGGUAUUUGUCAAGAUGGAAUUCAGUUCAGUUCUUUGGCAUGAAUAUCUAAUCAACUCAUUUGUAAUCAGUAGACACAAUCUGCUGGUGAUCAUAGAAUCACAUAUUCUUAGAGCUGGAAGCAACUUCUGAGUCUGCCCAGCCCAGCUG
rnacentral:lncRNA from 1 species